UACGGGAGGCAGCAGUGGGGAAUAUUGCACAAUGGGCGCAAGCCUGAUGCAGCCAUGCCGCGUGUAUGAAGAAGGCCUUCGGGUUGUAAAGUACUUUCAGUCGUGAGGAAGGUGUUAAGGUUAAUAACCUUAGCAAUUGACGUUAGCGACAGAAGAAGCACCGGCUAACUCCGUGCCAGCAGCCGCGGUAAUACGGAGGGUGCGAGCGUUAAUCGGAAUUACUGGGCUAAAGGGCACGCAGGCGGUUAAUAAGUUGGAUGUGAAAUCCCCGGGCUUAACCUGGGAAUGGCAUUCAAGACUGGUUAGCUAGAGUCUUGUAGAGGGGGUAGAAUUCCAUGUGUAGCGGUGAAAUGCGUAGAGAUGUGGAGGAAUACCGGUGGCGAAGGCGGCCCCUGGCAAAGGACUGACGCUCAUGUGCGAAAGCGUGGGGAGCGAAACAGGGAUUAGA
rnacentral:rRNA from 1 species